rnacentral:rRNA from 1 species
GUCUACGGCCAUGCAACCCUGAACAAGCCCGAUGUCUGUCUCGGAAGCUAAGCAAGGUUGGGCCUGGUUAGUACUUGGAUGGGAGACCACCUAGGAAGACCAGAUGCUAUAGGCA